rnacentral:rRNA from 1 species
UCUUGGUCAAUUAGAGGAAGUAAAAGUCGUAACAAGGUUUCCGUAGGUGAACCUGCGGAAGGAUCAUUAUAGAAUAAACACUGCUUGACUGUUGCUGGCUCUUAACGAGCAAUUGUGCACGUCUAGCAAGUCUUAUCCACCUGUGAACCUUUUGUAGAUAUGAAAACAUCACUUCGAGAUAUUUCGGUUAGAGGAUUUGCAAUGUACUUGCUAUCUUUGGAUGUCUUUCAAUCUAUGUAUUUUUACUAUACCCUUACAAAAAAAGUAAUAGAAUGUAUACUUAUUGGCCUUUGCGCCUUUAAAAACAAUACAACUUUCAACAACGGAUCUCUUGGCUCUCGCAUCGAUGAAGAACGCAGCGAAAUGCGAUAAGUAAUGUGAAUUGCAGAAUUCAGUGAAUCAUCGAAUCUUUGAACGCACCUUGCGCUCCUUGGUAUUCUGAGGAGCAUGCCUGUUUGAGUGUCAUUAAAUUAAAUCAAACUUUUUUACUUUUGUGUAAAGGUUUGGACUAUGGGGGUUUUGCAGGUUUGUUAACUAGUCUGCUCCUCUUAAAAUUAUUAGCGGAAAGCAUUGUGAAAAAGUUUCCUGGUGUGAUAAUUAUCUACGCCACACUUUGCUCACUUGAAAAGCUUCGCUUCUAACUGUUGUAUCAACAACACUUUGAACAAUUUGACCUCAAAUCAGGUAGGACUACCCGCUGAACUUAAGCAUAUCAAUAAG